rnacentral:rRNA from 1 species
AACGAACGCUGGCGGCAGGCCUAACACAUGCAAGUCGAGCGCUGUAGCAAUACAGAGUGGCAGACGGGUGAGUAACACGUGGGAAUCUUCCUAUCGGUACGGAAUAGCUCAGGGAAACUUGGGGUAAUACCGCAUACGCCUUCGGGGGAAAGAUUUAUCGCCGAUAGAUGAGCCCGCGUCUGAUUAGCUAGUUGGUGAGGUAAUGGCUCACCAAGGCGACGAUCAGUAGCUGGUCUGAGAGGAUGACCAGCCACACCGGGGACUGAGACACGGCCCAGACUCCUACGGGAGGCAGCAGUGGGGAAUAUUGGACAAUGGGCGCAAGCCUGAUCCAGCCAUGCCGCGUGAGUGACGAAGGUCUUCGGAUUGUAAAAGCUCUUUUGCCAGGGACGAUAAUGACGGUACCUGGAGAUUAAAGCCCGCGUAACUUCGUGCCAGCAGCCGCGGUAAUACGAAGGGCUAGGCGUUGUCGGAAUUAUCGAUGGCGUGAAAGCAGCACGUAGGCGGAUUGCU